CAGGAAGUAGUUUAUAAAAAUAUUAAUUUUGGAGAUUAAAGAUAAAGUUAAUUAACUUUUUUCCUGA
rnacentral:tRNA from 1 species